rnacentral:sRNA from 12 species
GCCAGGCCGUCAUAAAAGCACAAGCCAAUGUGCUUCCCUCUAAAGAGGUUGACGGCGAGCGGUAUCAUGCUGAAAGGAAGCAGGGGUACCGCAGACGCCGACCAUCCCCAAAGCGGGAGG